GGAAAACAUCAGCAGGUAUUUUGCAUGGCAGAACCUGUGCUGGUCUAUUAACCGGUUUCCAAAUCAUACCACCCUUGGCAGGCAUGGUUCCCUGGUACCAAGUAUCUCUUGCUACCUGCAACUCCUGCUUUGGUUGCAGUGAAGGGCCAAGAGUUACACAAAGUGUCUUCACAGUCAGAUGUUUUGCUUUCCUCCUUCUUGCCUGUCCUGAAAUUUAAGAAGUUCCUGGUGUGAGCAAAGGACUGAUCUUUUGGAAGGGACAGAUGUGGAGUGUUAUUUAUUUGUAGGCUUGAAGGCCUUUGAUACCAUUUUGUGGCAGAACAUUUUCAUUUUUAUCUCCUUGACCUGGGUUUUUUUCCUUUUUGUGUGUGUUUUGAGUAUAAACAAUGUUACGCAUUCUCAAGUAUAACUAAUAACUCUUGA
rnacentral:lncRNA from 1 species